GGAGUUCAUGUUGUCAUCAAAAGAACAGAAUGUGGCAUCAAAUCUGACCAUCCUCAAAGGAACAUACCUGAGAUUCUGGGUGCGUCUUGACCUUUGAUCUAUCAGAUAAGUCACAUCCAAGUGAUAAUCAUCCCACGCUUCCUGUGUCAGAUGUUCAUCAUGUCCAGUUUCUGAGACGUUGUGUUGUGUCAGACGGGAAAAGGUGUAACACAAGAGUGCGUUCAGGAAUUUGACCGACACCAGCCUGUGGAGUCGUCAUGCAUACGUGUACAGCUUUUAUUUCUUAGUGGCCACUUGUGGUCUCCGACUCAAAAAACAGAGCUGUGGAUUAUUAAACAAACAAGAGUAUAACUAGCUACACAGUAUUUAGCGCAAAUCUAAUAUCAGUUGUAUACUCAGGCUACUACUUUAUUGCAGAUAUUACAACAUUCACACUUCUAACCCUUCUAAGAAUCAUAAAUACUUAAAAGAAGUGAGCUUUCAUGUGGUGUAGCUCUAUAAAAUGUUUUACACAAAUUGCCCUGUUUGAAACUGUAUUUUAUAUAGAGAAAUGCAUAGAUUGCUGCUAUCAAAAUAGAUAAACAGAUAGCUGACAUAAACUGUACUUUUUAUGAGACCAAAUAUCGCAGUGAGUUAAGUGAUAUGCUUCGCCAUCUAGUGGACAUUUUGGAUCCUCUUAUGUUGAAGUGAAUCAACUGCAGCUGCAAAAUCGUUAUCAUUUGUCUCACAAUUCAUCCACGUAUUUAUGCUACUUUUUUUUUAAUUGACUUAAAUAUCCAGUUGAACGUUUAAUUUCAAUAUUGGGUAACUCAAGAGUCACAAAAACAAUUUAAUGUCACCACAGUUGAAACAUGCAAUAAUGUGAACAAACGCAACAAAAUGUAUCAUCUCAUUUACCAACAACUCGUACACCAGUAAAUUGUACAAAGGAAUAUGAUCAAUAUGUACAAGUGGAACUGAAGUAAUGAAGUCAAGAUAAUACCACAUAUGGCAUAUUCACGAUGGAAGCCUGUUUCUACCACGGCAUAAAGAAAAAAUAAAAUAAAAAAGGUAAUUUUGACAU